CAGAGCACAGGUUGGAGACCCUGGAAGGAGGACGCCCAGAGGUGCCGGGGUGCCUGGGCCAGCACCUAGAGUGCUACAGGGCUAGGAGGAGCUCGGGAACAGCGAGAGGACUCGGAGCCUCUGUCCCCGACCUGGCAGGGAAGAAGGUGUGGGACCUGCUGCGGGGUAGGGCAGGCUUGGGAUCAGCUCCAUCAGCUUGUGUGUAAACAGUACUGCUAAAGUGCUUGCGCCUGGCACGCGUGCGCUCUGCGGUGGGCCACACACCCUGCAGGGCCGGGUGGGCUUCCCUUCUCUGUCACCACCUCCCGGCCCGCCAACUGCCCACGUGACAAGGGCGGGGGGA